rnacentral:rRNA from 1 species
UACGUAGGGUGCGAGCGUUAAUCGGAAUUACUGGGCGUAAAGCGUGCGCAGGCGGCGCCGCAAGUCAGGCGUGAAAUCCCCGAGCUUAACUUGGGAAUGGCGCUUGAAACUACGGUGCUGGAGUGUGGCAGAGGGAGGUGGAAUUCCACGUGUAGCGGUGAAAUGCGUAGAGAUGUGGAGGAACACCGAUGGCGAAGGCAGCCUCCUGGGCCAACACUGACGCUCAUGCACG